GAUGUGGUAGAAACUAACACACAAAUUAAACCCUAUAAGUUCUAUUCCGAGGAUUAGAAGUGAUGCUAAUCAACACAAAUUAAACUUAUAAAACUAAAAACUAAGUUAAACUAACAACAAAACAAUGACUAGGGGGAUUUUGGACGAAUUUAAUAAAAAAAAAAGUAAAUGGCAGCAAGUAUAUUAAGUUGUGAAUGAAAUGUGGAUGAAAGGAUAGCUAAAGGAUUCUUCUCCACACAUAAAUCAUAUGCAUACCUAUCGAUUUCCAGUUAUUCUUCCUAUAAAUCAUGAAUGACAAUGCCCCAAAUUAAUUGUGAACAUCACCAAUUAACUUUCAGAUUUUCCUAAGUUCAUUGAAUUGGACUCAGCGAUGCAACCAAAUUAUUCUUCUCAAGUUCCCUAACUAUGAAAAGCAUGGUAGAGAUACAUCUCAAAGAUCAUUAAGUUCUGUGAAAAUCAUAAGCAUUGACAAAGCAUUCGUAACUAUGAAAAGCUUGAUACUCGUGCCAAGAAUUUACUUAACUCAAUCAAGACUAGUGAAUUUUACUACUUGC
rnacentral:lncRNA from 1 species